GACGAACGCUGGCGGCGUGCCUAAUACAUGCAAGUAGGACGCAGUUGCGAACGGGUGAGUAACGCGUAGGUAACUACCUAUUAGAGGGGGAUAACUAUUGGAAACGAUAGCUCAUACCGCAUACUAGUAGAUGGACCUGCGUUGUAUUAGCCAGUAGGUAGGGUAAUGGCCUACCUAGGCAACGAUACAUAGCCGAGCUAAGAGGGUGAACGGGCACACUGGGACUGGCACUCGGCCCAGACGCAUACGGGAGGCAGCAGUAGGGAGUCGACGGCAAUGGGGGGAACUCUGACCGAGCAAAGCCGCGUGAGUGAAGAGGGUUUUCGAAUCGUAAAGCUCUGUUGAUAAUGAAGCGGUACUUAACCAGAAAGGGACGGCUAACUACGUGCCAGCAGCCGCGGUAAUAC
rnacentral:rRNA from 1 species